rnacentral:rRNA from 1 species
AUUGAACGCUGGCGGCAGGCCUAACACAUGCAAGUCGAACGAGCGGCGGACGGGUGAGUAAUGUAUGGGGAACUGCCUGAUGGAGGGGGAUAACUACUGGAAACGGUAGCUAAUACCGCAUACCAUCGGAUGAACCCAUAUGGGAUUAGCUAGUAGGUGAGGUAACGGCUCACCUAGGCGACGAUCCCUAGCUGGUCUGAGAGGAUGAUCCGCCACACUGGGACUGAGACCCGGCCCAGACUCCCACGGGAGGCAGCAGGGGGGAAUAUUGGCAAAUGGGCGCAAGCCUGAUGCAGCCAUGCCGCGUGUAUGAAGAAGGCCUUUGGGUUGGAAAGUACUUUCAGUCGGGAGGCGUUACCCGCAGAAGAAGCACCGGCUAACUCCGUGCCAGCAGCCGCGGUAAUUC